rnacentral:lncRNA from 1 species
AAAACCAGCUAGUCACCCUAAAUUUAGGGAUAAAUGGUUCGGAGAUGCAAUAGUUUUUAAUAGCAUCCUUUUUUCUAAAUAAAAUAAUUUAGACAUGAUUGGAAAUAGAAAUCUUUAAAAGAAGGAAAGUAUUUUUUCUUUUAAUUAUGAAUAACGGCAACGAUAGUAUACUGCUGAUCAAAAGUCAGAAAUCAAUUGAAAGAAAUCAAAUCCUGGUUCAACCAAAACCGACGGAAACACAUCAAAUAUAAGAGGAAAUCAACGAAACAACAGAAACACUAAAGUGCAACAUAAAACCAAACGACAAUAUAAAAGAUACCUGGGGGACAGUCAAACUCAUAGAUAGAAAAUAAACUGACAACGCCAUGGCUAAAAAUAAAAA